AUCUUAUCAAGAGUGGUGGAGGGACUGGCCCUGAGAAACCCGGCAACCUAAAUAUUGUAUAAAAGUCGAUAUUUAUAUGGUGCUAAUUCCAGCAGCAUUAGCUGAUAGAUGAGAG
rnacentral:ncRNA from 2 species